rnacentral:Y_RNA from 1 species
AGCUGGUCCAAAGGUAGUGAGUUAUCUCAAUUGUUCAAACUCCUUGUUCUACUCUUUUCUCCCUUCUCAUUACUACACUUUACUAGUCUUAA